UAUGUAGAACAUAAAAGAUAAGCCAGUAAGAAGAAAAAAAAGAAAGCAACAAAUGUAAUUGCAAUUUCCUGCCCUAAGCGAGAACACACUCCCUUGCAGUUACACCAGAGAACUGAACUACACCUCCUUUUUAAAGAACGACCGUCUUCAGGGAAUCACCUUACAGACUGAACCAGCUUUCAGCUUGCUUUCAUUUAUUUAAGAUUCCCCCAUUUAGUAUUACUAAUUUCACAUGGAGACUAAACUUCCAACAGAAAUCUUCAGUUCUUUUGAAAAAGGCUAAAGACAGGAACAAGCUUCAGCAGUUGAUCAGAGCUCAGGAACAAACUGGACUUAAUUCAGGACAAUCUGCAAUGAGAAGAAACUGGAGACCAGGAGGAUUUCUGUAAUUUUGUGGGCUGUUUGCUGAACAAGAUUCAUCGUUUGUGCUCUCCUUCAGCUGAACAGCUUCCUGUGCAGUGUUUGGACGACACAAUGGGAUUAAACGCCAUGAUCGUCUACGGAGAUCAGGAAUUCCUGAUGCUGCUUCAAGAGAGACAGCAACCGAGAUGGAGCGAGAGAGCGAAUGAGGGCCUCUUGCAGGGGCCAACACCUUGGAAUUUGAACACACAACCUUCCUAUCCUUAGACCAAGAUGGAAGAUAAGGAUGAAGGCAACAAUGGAGAUCUUAAAUGUGUUUUAGGGGCCCCAUUCAUACUUCAUCAUUCAUAUUCAUACUUUUCAGUAGGCCCAGAUUUCUAAAAAUCCUUUCUUUGUAUUGGUCUUUAGUAAUAUUCUAAUUUUCUGAGAUACUGAAUGUGGGAUUUUCCUUAGUUGUCAGUUAUAAUCAUCAAAAUUAAAAGAAAUAAACAUCUGAAAAAUAUCAGUCUGUGUGUAAUAAUGAAUAUAAUAUAACGUAUUUUCCGCACUAUAAAGCGCACCGAAUUAUAAGGCGCAGUCUCAGUUACGAGGUCUAUUUUUGUACUUAACCCAUACAUACUGUAAGGCGCACCGUAUUAUAAGGCACAUGCUAAAACAUACAGUCUACAAAAAAGGUAACAGAAGCAAAACAGUGAGUUUAGUUGAACUAUUUAUCAAUACACACAUUAUUUUUUAAAUCAAUCUUCUCCCACAAAUCCAUCAAAGUCCUCAUCUACUGUGUCUUCUUAACUUGGCACAGUUCAUUUUCUUGCUUCCUCCACUUCCGAACCAUAGAUUCAUUGAUGUUGAAUUCUUUCACAGCUGCUCUAUUCCCAUUUACAACAGCGUAACUGAUAGCCUGUAGUUUGAAUUGUGCCUCGUAAGCAUGUGUCUUCACUGGGGCAGUGGUGGCUCAACUGGUUAAGGCUCUGGGGUGUUGAUCAGAGGAUCGGGUUCAAGGCCUAGCACAACCAAGCUGCCACUGCUGGGCUCUUGAGCAAGGCCCUCAACCCUCCCUGUUCCAGGGUCGCUGUAUCAUAGCUGCCCCUGCACUCUGACCCCAACCUCCUCAGUUGGAGUAUGUGAAGAAAAGAAUUCCACUGUGCUGUAAUGUAUAUGUGCCGAUAAUAAAGGCUUCUG